rnacentral:lncRNA from 1 species
UACUAUUAUUACUAUUAUUAUUAUAUUAUUAUUAGUGGGUUGUAAAUCUUAAAAUUAGGAGAAAUGUAUAAUGUAGCUUUUUGGCGUCUUAAAAUCAGUAUAAUUGUUUGUAAACUUAAGAUGCAAAAAUCUUUGAAUCAUCGUUGUGGUAUUUUUAUAUGUUAUAAUUUUUGUAUUAGUGAAAUUUCAUGUUCUAAUACAUACUUCACUUGUACUGUCUUUAGAAUAUGUAUGGAAACUCCCUGGAUUGCCACCUCGCAUGGCUAUACAGUGAGGAAUAAAGGAUUAUAUAUUGGAGGAUUGGAUCUGCCCUGGAUCAGUAGGGAAACGGAUACAUGGAUGUGCACGAAAUAAGGAUGGAUACAAACACUUACACCAAGGAUUAACAGAACAGAACUAAUUGUAAAGAGGAACAUUUACACACUUGCCACAUUCGGAAGUGUUAGUCGCUUUGAUAAACAUAAUAAGGGGAUCACUACCUGGAAUAUAUAUGGGCAGUUAUGGAUGGAUUACAACAGCUUUCAUUCCUACUUUGCAAAUAGGAAGAGUCAGGGAAAAGGAAAGGGAAUACACACAUUCCAAUAAGGAAAGGAAAUAGGACUUGAAAUAAUUGACUUUAUUCAAAUGGGAUUUGCACAAAGGAGGAUUCACAGGAGAUACUCUGGAUCGAGGGAUUGGGAGAAAGCAUGGAUGCGCCGUGGGACAGAGGGUAUGAGUUUCAAUAACAAUUUUUUUGCCCAUAUACAUUCAUUAAUAAAUAAAUGCUCUCACCUAUAAUUGAACAUUCACAGAUAUACACAUUUAAAUUUUAAUAUAAAUUAUAUGUGAACGAAUAAAUUAAAAAUUAACUAAUCUUCACUAUAACAUAGAAUAAAAAUUCGUGCAUUAUUUUAAUAUUAAAUACUAUAAAAAUUUUACAAAUUUUUCUGGGGGGGUUGAAAUUUAAUUUAUAACGUCCUAUCCUAUGGUUGAGAGCUUAAUAUUUUGAAUAUUAAAAUCAAUUUAAAAUUAAUUCAUAAAUAUUCGAGAUUAGCUUAUCCAUUUACUAAUCAAUUGUUUUUUAUUUACAUACUGUUUAAACAAAACCAUCUAUUGAUUUGCUUAAAGUUGAUACUUAAAUUCUUAAUUUGUAGUCAAACAUUGUGAGGAUCAAGUUGAGGAUCUUUGAAGUUACAUUUCCAAGGCUUCAAACUUUGUCAGUUAGGAGAUUCCUCGUAAUGUAGGAUGAUGGCGAGAAGAUAAUUUUGGAUUACUGGAUUUAAAAAAGUAGCCAUAGUUUUAGCAUCAAUUUAGAAAAUCUAUGAUAUUUUAACUUAUCUGAAUCACAAUCAUUUUCCAUUUAAUUUUGAAAUUUAAUUAUUUAUUUAAAAUUUUAUACUUUAGAAUAAUUUUUCUCUUAAGUGUGAAAUUUUAUGAAAGUUUCUUGAAUGAAUUAUGCAAUAAUAAAUUUGUUAUUUGGCUACCUGUGAUGAUACAAAAUUUGGUAAGUAAAUAAGGUAAGCUUGACUGAAAUUUUAGGUUUUUCUCAUGCUUUGAAGAUAUUCAUUUUUUACUCCCUGUUAUAGUUCUUUAAUUCAUUUUCUGCACAAUGAUCAUAUUUUUACAUAGUGCACACACAAAUUAAUAUAUUUUUUCUAUUAUAUAUACAUACUAUAAAUGACAGUUAACAACUAUCUAUCUAUAUAUAUUUGUGUGUCUGCAGGAAUACUUUAGGCAUUUCUGGGUAUGAUAGGAGUUUGGGGUUUUGCAUGGAAGUGGGGAUUGUCCCAGAUUUUCUAUGGAAAUUAUGAAAUUAACGAGGCACCUCAGAG